CCUUCAUCUCCUCUCCUCGAAGCGCUCCUCUAGCAAAGCUCCCACCUCUCCCAUCUCUCCCAAAUCGAUCCCACCUGCCCCCAAAUCGAUCCCGGCGGCCGGCGCUAUCUCCACUCGCCGUCGAGGCCGCCGCCCUACGACGAGCCCCAGCAGGCCGCCGCGCGCAUGGCGCCGUCAAUGGCGUGUCCAGGCCGUCGCCCUGCGCGCCCCGCGAGGAGCCCCAGCAGGCCGCCGCCUGCACGUGGCUGCCGGAGAUCUGCACGGGGGAGAUCAAAGAUCUGAGCCAUGAGAUUAUGGACAGCGGGGCCUGAUCUAUAUGACGGUGGGGAUUGGGAGCCACGUCAUGCGACGGCGGCAACAGGCGGCAAUAUUGGAGCUCGCACAGCACACACCUCGCAGCCGGCCGCCCCCCCAUAGUUUAGGCCUGAGUCUGGUACGCCUUCUUUGUUGAGUCAUGUGCUGCUUAGCUUGUCUGCUUGAGACUAGGACUAGCUUGUACAUGCUACGAACUCUAGCUUGUGCUCUGUAAUUUCUGAGCGGAGCAAACAUCAAUUAUGUUCAGUAACAACUAAUGCUCAUAUUAGACUAGUUAGUGCUUAUUCGUUCUCAAAGAAAGUGUUUUAUCCUUUAAUUCUUAUUCAUGAUCAAAAUCACCAGUGAAGCAUGGUUCCAAAGAUAUACACAAGUUUUUGUUUAUGUGAUUCAAUCAUACAGCACUCUAGAAAUGCAGUCGGCCAAUAUUUACUGGAUAGUUUUGGAUGUUCCUUGGUAGAUGACUGCUGUAUCCAGUCUGAAGAUGAACUUUUAAACUAAGCCAGCAGAGAAAUGCUUUUCUUUUGUUGACAAUAAUCUAGCUUGACAAUAUUUUGCAAACUGAUAACUUCAGAUGCUAGCCAAUUGACAAGACAACCUGAAUAUUUACAAUCCUGUAUUCUACACCUUAUCUCAGUUCUGUAGAUUUUCAUUCCAAGAUAUCGUUCCUGCAGAUAAGACUGAUGCCUUUCUUAAUUGAAAGUUGAGAAAAGAUUUGCAUGUGUUAUUAUAGUUGCUUGUUGAAAUCUUAUCUUAUUCUUAUAUAUAUGAGCAAGCUAGCACUUUAGGAGUACAUGUAGGCUUUAAUGUAAGUGAAAUCUGACUACCAGGGAGCUGUACCUGCACCUGUUUGUUCAUUGUGCAAAUUCUUAGCUCAACUGGCUUGCCACAGCGGUUGUGCUUUGUGCCCUUCAACGAGAAAUAUGCAGAAUGCUGACAUGCUGAAUUGGUCAUGGGCAAGCACUUGAGUUGACAAGAGUUUAAAUGAUACUACUAGAAUGCCAUUCGGAGGAGCAAGAAGGAACAGAGCCAUGGCACCAGGGGACAAGGCCUACCUGUAGAGUUCUUGAACAAAGUGAUGGUGGAUGUGGUGAAGCCCGUGCAUGUUGCUUCAAAACUAUAGGGUGCGCGCUAUGGCUUUGACCGUGGUCCAAAGUUGGUUGUACUAUUUAAAUCAAAGUUUCUUCUGUUUAAAUCAAAGUUUGCUAAUAAACAGUUUUUCCCUUGAUGAUGAUUUGUAUUUCAGUUUUAGGGCUAAGCGAAUGCUUCUAUUCUUGUAUGUCCUUACAUAUAUUUCAUACAAUAAGAUUGAUGCUUGCAUAAUGAGUUUGUUU